GAGUUUGAUCGUGGCUCAGAACGAACGCUGGCGGCAGGCUUAAUACAUGCAAGUCGAACGCGUGUAGCAAUACACGAGUGGCGCACGGGUGAGGAACACGUGGGUACCUGCCCUCUGGUACGGAAUAACCCCGGGAAACUGGAGCUAAUACCGUAUGUCUCCUAAGGGAGAAAGAUUUAUCGCCAGAGGAGGGGCCCGCGUCCGAUUAGCUAGUUGGUGAGGUAACGGCUCACCAAGGCUCCGAUCGGUAGCUGGUCUGAGAGGACGAUCAGCCACACUGGGACUGAGACACGGCCCAGACUCCUACGGGAGGCAGCAGUAGGGAAUAUUGGAC
rnacentral:rRNA from 1 species